UGCUUGAUUGUGAAGAAGUGCCCUUACUCUGAGAUCGAUUAUGAAUAAUAAGAAUUCAUGAACCUUAAGAAAUCUGACAUACCAAUAAUUGGCAUUUCUGACGCGAAAUUUCCAAUUGGCAUUUAUCCGUUUCAAAUCCGUUCAUCAUCCGUUUUAUCCGUUAUACGUCCGGUAGAAGUCGUUUCUCAUUCGUUCAACAUCCGUUUUAUCCGUUAAACGUCCGUUAGAAGUCCGUUGGUGAAUUUAUCUUCCAGACCUCCAACGGAUGUAUAACGGACACGUAACGGAUACAAAACGGAAACGAAACGGACGAGUACCGUACAAAACGGACGCCUAACGGACGUUCAACGAACAUUUUAUCCGUUGGACGUCCGUUCAAAGUUUUGAACAUGCUCAAAAUUUUCCACCGGACAGAACGGACGUCGACGGAUAAAACGUACGCUUAACGGACAUGCAACGGAUUGAAAAAAAGUUAUCCGUUAGGUGUCCGUCCGAGCUAUCCGGUAAGGUGUGACCGAGGCUUUAC
rnacentral:lncRNA from 1 species